rnacentral:rRNA from 1 species
GGAGUCUGGGCCGUGUCUCAGUCCCAGUCUGGAUGAUCAUCUUCUCAAACCAUCUAACGAUCGUCGACUUGGUAGGCCAUUACCCUACCAACUAUCUAAUCGUACGCAGGCCAGUCCCAAAGCGCAAAAGCUUUAAUCCGAAGAUCACAUGCGGUAUUAGCCACUCUUUCGAGUAGUUAUCCCUCACUUUGGGGUCCGUUCCCACGCGUUACUCAGCCGUCCGCCGCUCGUCAGCAGAAUUCCACGGUUCCCUCGAAGUCAACAACCUACGAUAAAGCGCUAGGUGUGUCAAGGAAACGGUGGAAUUCCCUGUUACCGCUCGACUUGCAUGUAUUAGGCACGCCGCCAGCAUUCAUC